GGUCCAAAAAAAAAACACAAAAAGCCGGUGGCAUUCUUCCCAGGCCUUGCCCCUCUUCCCAAGGUUUUCCUCCAAGGCUUUCUCAUUUCCGCCACUGCAUUUCUCUGCUUCUGAUUCUGGUCGGUUUGUCUUGGCCCGGGGCCAGUAGUUACAGGAUGCCCACAAGGAUUUGUUGCCUGCAUUUCCUCUCUUUAUUAAAUUACUACAGUUCUCCAAUGACCAGGACUACUGGACUUAUGGACAAACAGAUGGACUCUACAGCUACAUGAAAUGCUAAAGGUUGGAGAGGUCGUACUCUGAGACAGAAAGACGUGGCUCAUCUUGAUUCUCUCCACUGCAGUACCCAUGCAAACACAUCUGAGAACUGAGCUGGAUGAGCACACUAGGAGAUCUGGUAACAGGUACUAACAAGCAUUAUCAGGACUGACUGCAAUACAGGGACAAGUUAUGGCUAUUUAAAAAUACUUUGAUUCAUAUCUUGAUGAUUGAAUAUUCUGAGAACUGGAGGAACCAGAACUAUGAUGCCAGAAGCUCUUUGAGGCAAGGCUUGCUUACCAAUGGGCACACCAACAUCUUUCACCUUCUGCAUAUAUAGUAUUAAAAAGUGAACAAAAGAAAAAGUAGAAUUCAGAAAGAAAAGAAUGUAAUGAAGCAGGAGGACAGAAAUUCAAAGAAGGAAGAGAAACCUAAGGUCAACAGUCAAAAAGGACAGGGGGCAAGAAUGAUUAGAUAUCAAAAUUUAAAAUCCCCAAGCUAGGAAGAACCAAAGACUAAGUACUCUUGAAGUGAAAGGCGAUCUCUAUAGAACAUUAUUCUUACAGGUGUUAUCCAGGAAACAGAUAAGGGCAUUCAUCAGAUACAUGACUUCUAUUUUCCUUUAGCUGAGUAGUUACAAGAAAAACAGAUUCCAAUGUUUUCAUAAGUGGUAAAUAGAUAACAUCAUUGUAGGAAAAGGGGCUUUGUCAACUUAUGAGUACUGGCCCUUUCUGCAGCAUCAUAACUAAAAAUUUCAAUUUCAGGCUUUGGGUUUCCUCAGAGGAUGACACUGUAGACAUUAAUGGUCAUGGACUUUUGAGUGACAACAGCCCAAACCAAUCAAGUGUCUAUAAAUCCUGAACAGAAAGAAUAACUGUGAAUUACCAUUGACUUUGAACUAUAAAUGGUGUGGAUGUCUCACUUCAAGCUCCAGCAUCAUAAUACAACCUUCAUAACUUUCUUUACAAAUUUACAAGGGAAUUGUAUUUCAGUGACUAUUUUGAUAUCAGGUUAAAUUUUCCAAAAUGUUACACAUAAUUCAGGUCUUUUUUUCCUACCAGUAAGAGUUCUGCAGGCCGGCGCCGUGGCUCACUUGGCUAAUCCUCCACCUGCGGCGCCAGCACCCUGGGUUCUAGUCCCAGUUGCUCCUCUUCCAGUCCAGCUCUCUGCUGUGGCCCAGGAGGGCAGUGGAGAAUGGCCCAAGUGCUUGGGCCCUGCACCCGCAUGGGAGACUGGGAGGAAGCACCUGGCCCCUGGCUCCGGAUCGGCACAGCGCCGGCCAUGGUGGCCAUUAAGGGAGUGAACCAACGGAAGGAUGACCUUUCUCUCUGUCCCUCUCUCACUGUCUAUAACUCUCUCCCUCUCUCCCUCUCUCUUUCUCUCUCUCUCUCUCACACACACUGUCUAAUUCUGCCUGUCAAAAAAUAAAAAAAGAGUUCUGCUAAUUACAGAAACCCAUAAUUGCAGUGCUGUUUUUAAAAAAUUAAACACAGUAAUACUGCCAAUGUUAAUCAAAAUCAAAAUUUCAGAAUGCAGUGGCAUUCAUUUGACCAAGCUAAAUGUUAAAGUACGAGCUGUUUAUCCCAUUGACCAUUUUUGCUAGGUUGAGGCUGUGUAAAUCUAAUGUUGACAUAGUUGGGCCGGUGCCACGGCUCACUUGGUUCGUCCUCUGCCUGCGGUGCCCACAUCCCAUGUGGGUGCCAGGUUCUAGUCCCAGUUGCUCCUCUUCCAGUCCAGCUCUCUGCUGUGGCCCGGGAGGGCAGUGGAGGAUGGCCCAGGUGCUUGGGUCCCUGCACCUGCAUGGGAGACCAGGAGAAAGUGCCUGGCUCCUGGCUUUGGAUUGGCACAGCGCCGGCCAUGGCAGUCAUUUGGAGACAUAAACCAACAGAAGGAAGACCUUUCUCUUUGUCUCUGUCACUGUCUAUAACUCUACCUGUCAAAUAAAAAAAAAAAUUCUCUCUCUCUCUCGUUCUCCAGUUCUGCCCUUCAAAUAAAUAAAUCUUAAAAAAAGUUGAUAUAGUUUUUUUAUUUAAAUAUUUGUUUACGUAUUGAAAGAGUUACACAGAGAAAGAAGGACAGGCAGAGAGAGAGAGAGAGAGAGAGAGAGGUUUUCCAUCUACUGGUUCACUCCCCAAUUGGCUGCGACAGUCGGAGAUGCGCUGAUCCGAAGCCAGGAGCCAAGAAGUUUCUUUGGGGUCUCCCACACAGUUACAGGGGCCCAAGCACUUGGGCCAUCUUCUACUGCUUUCCUGGGCCACAGCAGAGAGCUGCAUUGAAAGUGGAGCAGUGGGUGCUAUUUAACAUAGUUCUGGAAGUUUUAGCCAGAGCCAUCAGACAAGAAAAAGAAAUUAAAGGAAUACAAAUUGAGAAGGAAGAAGCCAAACUAUCCCUCUUUGCAGACGAUAUGAUUCUUUACUUAGAGGAUCCAAAGAACUCUACUAAGAGACUAUUAGAACUCAUAGAGGAGUUUGGCAAAGUGGCAGGAUAUAAAAUCAAUGCACAAAAAUCAACAGCCUUUGUAUACACAAGCAAUGACAUGGCUGAGAAAAAACUGCUAAGAUCAAUCCCAUUCACAACAGCUACAAAAACAAUCAAAUACCUUGGAAUAAACUUAACCAAGGACGUUAAAGAUCUCUACAAUGAGAAUUACAAAAUCUUAAAGAAAGAAAUAGAAGAGGAUACCAAAAAAUGGAAAAAUCUUCCAUGCUCAUGGAUUGGAAGAAUCAACAUCAUCAAAAUGUCCAUUCUCCCAAAAGCAAUUUAUACAUUCAAUGCAAUCCCAAUCAAGAUACCAAAGACAUUCUUCUCAGAUCUAGAAAAAAUGAUGCUGAAAUUCAUAUGGAGGCACAAGAGACCUCGAAUAGCUAAAGAAAUCUUGUACAACAAAAACAAAGCUGGAGGCAUCACAAUACCAGAUUUCAGGACAUACUACAGGGCAGUUGUAAUCAAAACAGCAUGGUACUGGUACAGAAACAGAUGGAUAGACCAAUGGAACAGAAUAGAAACACCAGAAAUCAAUCCAAACAUCUACAGCCAACUUAUAUUUGAUCAAGGAUCUAAAACCAAUUCCUGGAGUCUAUUCAAUAAAUGGUGCUGAGAAAACUGGAUUUCCACGUGCAGAAUCAUGAAGCAAGACCCCUACCUUACACCUUACACAAAAAUCCACUCAACAUGGAUUAAAGACCUAAAUCUACGACCUGACACCAUCCAGUUAUUAGAGAACAUUGGAGAAACUCUGCAAGAUAUUGGCACAGGCAAAGAAUUUCUGGAAAAGACCCGGGAGGCACAGGCAGUCAAAGCCAAAAUCAACUAUUGGGAUUGCAUCAAAUUGAGAAGUUUCUGUACUGCAAAAGAAACAGUCAGGAGAGUGAAGAGACAACCGACAGAAUGGGAAAAAAUAUUUGCAAACUAUGCAACAGAUAAAGGGUUAAUAACCAGAAUCUACAAAGAAAUCAAGAAACUCCACAACAUCAAAACAAACAACCCACUUAAGAGAUGGGCCAAGGACCUCAAUAGACAUUUUUCAAAAGAGGAAAUCCAAAUGGCCAACAGGCACAUAAAAAAAUGUUCAAGGUCACUAGCAAUCAGGGAAAUGCAAAUCAAAACCACAAUGAGGUUUCACUUCACCCGGGUUAGAAUGGCUCACAUACACAAAUCUGCCAACAACAGAUGCUGGAGAGGAUGUGGGGAAAAAGGGACACUAACCCACUGUUGGUGGGAAUGCAAACUGGUCAAGCCACUAUGGAUGUCAGUCUGGAGAUUCCUCAGAAACCUGAAUAUAACCCUACUGUUCGACCCAGCCAUCCCACUCCUUGGAAUUUACCCAAAGGAAUUUAAAUUGGCAAACAAAAAAGCGGUCUGCACCCUAAUGUUUAUUGCAGCACAAUUCACAAUAGCCAAGACCUGGAACCAACCUAAAUGCCCAUCAACGGUAGAUUGGAUAAAGAAAUUAUGGGAUAUGUACUCUUUAGAAUACUAUACCGCAGUAAGAAACAAUGAAAUCCAGUCAUUUGCAACAAAAUGGAGGAAUCUGGAACACAUCAUGCUGAGUGAAAUAAGCCAUUCCCAAAGGGACAAAUAUCAUAUGUUCUCCCUGAUCGGUGACAACUGACUGAACACCAAAAAGGAAACCUGUUGAAGUGAAAUGGACACUAUGAGAAACGGUGACUUGAUCAGUAUAGCCCUGACUGUUAAUGAACAACUUAAUACAUUAUCCCUCUUAGUAGUUUUUUUUGUCUAUUCUAUUUAAUAUGACUGGUUUAAUUCUGUAAUUAAUACACAGUUAUUCUUAAGUGUUGAAAUUUAACUGAAAUGUGAUCCCUGUUAAACAUAAGAGUAGGAAUAAGAGAGGGAAGAGAUAUAUAAUUUGGGACAUGCUCAAGCUGACUUGCCCCAAAUGGUAGAGUUAGAAACAUACCAGGGGACUCCAAUUCAAUCCCAUCAGAGUGGCAUGUACCAAUGCCAUCUCACUAUUCCAAGUGAUCAAUUUCAGUUCACAAUUGAUCAUAAUGAAAGGACUAAGAGUCAAAGGGAGCACGUAAACAAGUCUAGUACCUGCUAAUACUAACCGAUAGAAUAAAUAAAGGGGAGAAUGAUCCAACAUGGGAUGCGAGAUACUCAGCAGACUCAUAGAAUGGCGGAUGUCCUAAACAGCACUCUGGCCUCAGAAUCAGCCCUAAAGGCAUUCGGAUCUGGCUGAAAAGCCCAUGAGAGUAUUUCAGGCAUGGAAAGCCAAGACACUCUGGCAAAAAAAAAAAAAAACCUAAACUAAAUGAAAGAUCUCUGUGAGUGAGAUUCCAGUGGAAAGAACAGGUCUUCAAAGAAGGAGGUACCUUUCUCUGAAGGGAGGAGAGAACCUCCACUUUGACUAUGACCUUGUCUAAACAAGAUAAGAGUCGGAGAACUCAAGGGGCUUCCAUAGCCUUGGAAACUCAUGACUGGAGCAUAGGGAGAUUACUGAUGCCAUAAACAGGAGUGUCAAUUUGUAAAGUCAACAAGAGGAGUCACUGUGCACUUACUCCUCAUGUAGGAUCUCUGUCCUUAAUGUCCUGUACAUUGUGAUUUAAUGCUAUAAGUAGUAGUCAAACAGUAUUUUUCACUUUGUGUUUCUAUGGGGGUGCAAACUGUUGAAAUCUUUACUUAAUGUAUACUAAACUGAUCUUCUGUAAAAAAAAAAAAAAAAAAAAAGAAGAAGAAGAAGAAAUUAUCAAUUCCCAACUUGACUCUCACUGGGAUUAAACAUGACAAUAGGUCUGAUCUGAUUUCAUCAUAAUUUAAAAAAUCAUCUAUUAUUUUUCACUUUAUGUUUGUGUGGGAGCAAACUGUUGAAAUCUUUACUUAAUGUAUGAUAAACUGAUCUUCUGUCUAUAAAGAGAAUCGAAAAUGAAUCUUGAUGUGAAUGGAAGGGGAGAGGGAGUGAGAAAGGGGAGGGUUGUAGGUGGGAGGGACGUUAUGGAGGGGGGAAGCCAUUGUAAUCCAUAAGCUGUACAUUGGAAAUUUAUAUUCAUUAAAUAAAAGUUAAAAAAAAAAAAGAAAGUGGAGCAGUGGGGACUUGAACUGGCACCCAAAUGGGAUGCCAGCACUGCGGGCAGCAGCUUUACCCACUAUACUACAGCACCUGCCCCAACAUAAUUUUUUUUAAUCACACAAAGGGAUAUAUGUGGUGGGUACAGAGUAACACUAAACAGAUCAGAAAGCAUGACAGACUUUAGUUCUCUCCCCCCCCCCCAGCAUCUUCUUCAUCUUCCUGUUUUUCUGAUGUCCACAGAAUGAAAUUAUCCCUUAAGCACCCUGCAUCAUCUGAGUGCUUUCUUCUUACUCUUGAUUCAUUGUAUCCAAUUCAGCAA